rnacentral:rRNA from 1 species
UACGUAGGAUGCAAGCGUUGUCCGGAAUUAUUGGGCGUAAAGAGCUCGUAGGCGGUCUGUCGCGUCGGUCGUGAAAACUUGGGGCUUAACCCUGAGCUUGCGGUCGAUACGGGCAUGACUGGAGUUCGGCAGGGGAGACUGGAAUUCCUGGUGUAGCGGUGAAAUGCGCAGAUAUCAGGAGGAACACCGGUGGCGAAGGCGGGUCUCUGGGCCGAUACUGACGCUGAGGAGCGAAAGCGUGGGGAGCGAACAGG